rnacentral:rRNA from 1 species
ACGAACGCUGGCGGCGCGCCUAACACAUGCAAGUCGAACGGAGCUUAGAGAGCUUGCUUUUUAAGCUUAGUGGCGAACGGGUGAGUAACGCGUGAGUAACCUGCCCUAGAGUGGGGGACAACAGUUGGAAACGACUGCUAAUACCGCAUAAGCCCACGGUGCCGCAUGACACUGAGGGAAAAGGAUUUAUUCGCUUUAGGAUGGACUCGCGUCCAAUUAGCUAGUUGGUGAGGUAACGGCCCACCAAGGCGACGAUUGGUAGCCGGACUGAGAGGUUGAACGGCCACAUUGGGACUGAGACACGGCCCAGACUCCUACGGGAGGCAGCAGUGGGGGAUAUUGCACAAUGGGGGAAACCCUGAUGCAGCGACGCCGCGUGGAGGAAGAAGGUUUUCGGAUUGUAAACUCCUGUCGUUAGGGACGAUAAUGACGGUACCUAACAAGAAAGCACCGGCUAACUACGUGCCAGCAGCCGCGGUAAAACGUAGGGUGCAAGCGUUGUCCGGAAUUACUGGGUGUAAAGGGAGCGCAGGCGGGAAGACAAGUUGGAAGUGAAAACCAUGGGCUCAACCCAUGAAUUGCUUUCAAAACUGUUUUUCUUGAGUAGUGCAGAGGUAGAUGGAAUUCCCGGUGUAGCGGUGGAAUGCGUGGAUAUCGGGAGGAACACCAGUGGCGAAGGCGGUCUACUGGGCACCAACUGACGCUGAGGCUCGAAAGCAUGGGUAGCAAACAGGAUUAGAUACCCUGGUAGUCCAUGCCGUAAACGAUGAUUACUAGGUGUUGGGGGAUUGACCCCCUCAGUGCCGCAGUUAACACAAUAAGUAAUCCACCUGGGGAGUACGACCGCAAGGUUGAAACUCAAAGGAAUUGACGGGGGCCCGCACAAGCAGUGGAGUAUGUGGUUUAAUUCGAAGCAACGCGAAGAACCUUACCAGGUCUUGACAUCCGAUGCAUAGCACAGAGAUGUGUGAAAUCCUUCGGGACAUCGAGACAGGUGGUGCAUGGUUGUCGUCAGCUCGUGUCGUGAGAUGUUGGGUUAAGUCCCGCAACGAGCGCAACCCUUAUUGCCAGUUACUACGUUAAGAGGACUCUGGCGAGACUGCCGUUGACAAAACGGAGGAAGGUGGGGAUGACGUCAAAUCAUCAUGCCCUUUAUGACCUGGGCUACACACGUACUACAAUGGCGUCUACAAAGAGCGGCAAGCCUGUGAAGGCAAGCGAAUCUCAUAAAGGACGUCUCAGUUCGGAUUGAAGUCUGCAACCCGACUUCAUGAAGCUGGAAUCGCUAGUAAUCGCGAAUCAGCAUGUCGCGGUGAAUACGUUCUCGGGCCUUGUACACACCGCCCGUCAAACCAUGGGAGUUGGUAAUGCCCGAAGCCGGUGGCAUAACCCUUCGGGGAGUGAGCCGUCGAAGGCAGGACCGAUGACUGGGGUU